rnacentral:rRNA from 1 species
GGACGAACGCUGGCGGCGUGCUUAACCCAUGCAAGUCGAGCGGUAAGGCCUUUCGGGGUACACGAGCGGCGAACGGGUGAGUAACACGUGGGUGAUCUGCCCUGCACUUCGGGAUAAGCCUGGGAAACUGGGUCUAAUACCGGAUAUGACCUCCUAUCGCAUGGUGGGUGGUGGAAAGAUUUAUCGGUGCAGGAUGGGCCCGCGGCCUAUCAGCUUGUUGGUGGGGUAAUGGCCUACCAAGGCGACGACGGGUAGCCGACCUGAGAGGGUGACCGGCCACACUGGGACUGAGACACGGCCCAGACUCCUACGGGAGGCAGCAGUGGGGAAUAUUGCACAAUGGGCGAAAGCCUGAUGCAGCGACGCCGCGUGAGGGAUGACGGCCUUCGGGUUGUAAACCUCUUUCAGCAGGGACGAAGCGCAAGUGACGGUACCUGCAGAAGAAGCACCGGCUAACUACGUG